rnacentral:rRNA from 1 species
GCUAUCACUUACAGAUGGACCCGCGGCGCAUUAGCUAGUUGGUGAGGUAACGGCUCACCAAGGCGACGAUGCGUAGCCGACUUGAGAGGGUGAUCGGCCACACUGGGACUGAGACACGGCCCAGACUCCUACGGGAGGCAGCAGUAGGGAAUCUUCCGCAAUGGACGAAAGUCUGACGGAGCAACGCCGCGUGAGUGAUGAAGGUUUUCGGAUCGUAAAACUCUGUUGUUAGGGAAGAACAAGUAUCGUUCGAAUAGGGCGGUACCUUGACGGUACCUAACCAGAAAGCCACGGCUAACUACGUGCCAGCAGCCGCGGUAAUACGUAGGUGGCAAGCGUUGUCCGGAAUUAUUGGGCGUAAAGCGCGCGCAGGCGGUUUCUUAAGUCUGAUGUGAAAUCUUGCGGCUCAACCGCAAGCGGCCAUUGGAAACUGGGAGACUUGAGUGCAGAAGAGGAGAGUGGAAUUCCACGUGUAGCGGUGAAAUGCGUAGAGAUGUGGAGGAACACCAG